GCACCCUGGCUGCCAUCAGCAGCACACACCUGUCCACGCACUGGGGAGCCUCCUAGCUCGGAUACCCCCGGAGGGCAAACCCUGAGGACUAGCCUGGGCCGGAGAAGAUGAGAUGAGGAGCUUGUGGCAGGAUGUGUUUCAGCUUCCUGAAGACAGUCUUUCUAAGAAAAAUAUCCACUGAGCUGAACAGUGUUGUUCUGAGUGCUGUGGCACAUUCAGAUUGGGGCCCAAGUUUCCCCUGUCUGCAGGACCAGAAGCCAGAAGUUGAAAGAUCAGCUCCCUAGUAUGGGGAGCUACUUUGAGCAGCACUGAAAUGGUUCAUGUCUUUCAAAUGGAACAUCUGAGGGGUUCCCAAGUCAAUGAAAAUGUAAAUUUGUGCCCAUUUGGGGUGAGAUUUCUUAAAAAAAAUAACAAGUUUAGAAGCACCAAGUCUAUCUGUUAAAGUUGAUCGGGACCAUUGAUCGGGACCAGGGUGAUAGUUUCAUGAAGAGUUAAAUGGUGGCUCAGGUAGUCUCACAGCUACUUCGUUCUGUCUGUUCUCCAUUAGAAGGAUCUCCUGGAAUCCCAUGUGUUGCACAGGGUAUUCUGUGGUGUUCCCACGUUUUGUUCCCUGUAGAGUUUGCCCAUAUCCUUCCUGUGCCUUUUCCACUGUUUAUACCUGUGCCUCUGGAAAGGCCAGACGAAAAUGUUGCUGUUGCAAAGAAAGGGCCUGCAGAAGCAGAAAGAGCCAAGGUUGGCAGAGAAAUCACCCUCAUCCCAGGAGACUUGGGAAUGCUGUUGGAGAACUUGUGGUUUGGGUGGCUAAGUGGCUUAUGAAUUUGAAGGAUGCACUGGGCAUUGCUGCUUGUCCAUUACAGAAUGACUGAAACUCUGGCUGUGUAGCAGCAGCAGCAGCAUGUGCCGGUCUCUUGGCCUGAGUUCUUAACGUCAUUUCUGUGAACAGGCAUGUCAGGAACUCUGGGUUUUGCUUCUGGUUUUCUUCUGGCAGGGUGAACUGGGGAAAACUGCAGGUUCUUGCUCUGCUGGCUACACGUGCAGAUCUUGCUAGGAUGUUUCUUCCUCUGUGUCCUCUCACAAUAGCCAGAGAUCGGAUGUGAGCUUGUUUUGAUGUGGGCCUGACACUCUGUUUCCUGGUCUAUUAAAUUAAGCUAGCUGUAUAGCCAACGAAAAUAGGUUGGACACAGCUGACCUCUCGUUGUCCUGCCAUCCACACUCUGCUCUGUGUGAACAACCUUGAGCUCCUCUGGCUUUUGCGUUUUGAGGAGCUGUUUCUU